AAUGGGUCAGCGACUUAUAUUCUGUAGCAAGGUUAACCGAAUAGGGGAGCCGAAGGGAAACCGAGUCUUAACUGGGCGUUAAGUUGCAGGGUAUAGACCCGAAACCCGGUGAUCUAGCCAUGGGCAGGUUGAAGGUUGGGUAACACUAACUGGAGGACCGAACCGACUAAUGUUGAAAAAUUAGCGGAUGACUUGUGGCUGGGGGUGAAAGGCCAAUCAAACCGGGAGAUAGCUGGUUCUCCCCGAAAGCUAUUUAGGUAGCGCCUCGUGAAUUCAUCUCCGGGGGUAGAGCACUGUUUCGGCAAGGGGGUCAUCCCGACUUACCAACCCGAUGCAAACUGCGAAUACCGGAGAAUGUUAUCACGGGAGACACACGGCGGGUGCUAACGUCCGUCGUGAAGAGGGAAACAACCCAGACCGCCAGCUAAGGUCCCAAAGUCAUGGUUAAGUGGGAAACGAUGUGGGAAGGCCCAGACAGCCAGGAUGUUGGCUUAGAAGCAGCCAUCAUUUAAAGAAAGCGUAAUAGCUCACUGGUCGAGUCGGCCUGCGCGGAAGAUGUAACGGGGCUAAACCAUGCACCGAAGCUGCGGCAGCGACGCUGAUGCGUUGUUGGGUAGGGGAGCGUUCUGUAAGCCUGCGAAGGUGUGCUGUGAGGCAUGCUGGAGGUAUCAGAAGUGCGAAUGCUGACAUAAGUAACGAUAAAGCGGGUGAAAAGCCCGCUCGCCGGAAGACCAAGGGUUCCUGUCCAACGUUAAUCGGGGCAGGGUGAGUCGACCCCUAAGGCGAGGCCGAAAGGCGUAGUCGAUGGGAAACAGGUUAAUAUUCCUGUACUUGGUGUUACUGCGAAGGGGGGACGGAGAAGGCUAUGUUGGCCGGGCGACGGUUGUCCCGGUUUAAGCGUGUAGGCUGGUUUUCCAGGCAAAUCCGGAAAAUCAAGGCUGAGGCGUGAUGACGAGGCACUACGGUGCUGAAGCAACAAAUGCCCUGCUUCCAGGAAAAGCCUCUAAGCAUCAGGUAACAUCAAAUCGUACCCCAAACCGACACAGGUGGUCAGGUAGAGAAUACCAAGGCGCUUGAGAGAACUCGGGUGAAGGAACUAGGCAAAAUGGUGCCGUAACUUCGGGAGAAGG
rnacentral:rRNA from 1 species